CGGUGGAGUAUGUGGUUUAAUUCGACGCAACGCGAAGAACCUUACCAGGUCUUGACAUUGAUGGACAGAACUAGAGAUAGUUCCUCUUCUUCGGAAGCCAGAAAACAGGUGGUGCACGGUUGUCGUCAGCUCGUGUCGUGAGAUGUUGGGUUAAGUCCCGCAACGAGCGCAACCCCUAUCUUAUGUUGCCAGCACUUCGGGUGGGAACUCAUGAGAGACUGCCGCAGACAAUGCGGAGGAAGGCGGGGAUGACGUCAAAUCAUCAUGCCCCUUAUGACCUGGGCUACACACGUACUACAAUGGGAGUUAAUAGACGGAAGCGAGAUCGCGAGAUGGAGCAAACCCGAGAAACACUCUCUCAGUUCGGAUCGUAGGCUGCAACUCGCCUACGUGAAGUCGGAAUCGCUAGUAAUCGCAGGUCAG
rnacentral:rRNA from 1 species